UACGGAGGGGGCUAGCGUUGUCCGGAAUUACUGGGCGUAAAGGGCUCGUAGGUGGCCAACUAAGUCGGACGUGAAAUCCCUCAGCUUAACUGGGGAACUGCGUCCGAUACUGGAUGGCUUGAGUUUGGGAGAGGGAUGCGGAAUUCCAGGUGUAGCGGUGAAAUGCGUAGAUAUCUGGAGGAACACCGGUGGCGAAGGCGGCAUCCUGGACCAACACUGACACUGAGGAGCGAAAGCCAGGGGGAGCAAACGGG
rnacentral:rRNA from 1 species